CGCGCGGCCCGCAGCGGCCUCCCGCAGAGUUUCCGGCAGGACCGCAGGAAGCGCGCAUGCGCGGCCUCGCUCUGCCCGCAAGCUCUGCACCGGGCAAACUGUGUUCCUUUCCACUUCGGGACUGCGGGGGCUGGUUCGGUUCACGGAACUCGGAGGUUUUCCCCGCCCAGAGCUGAUGCGCACAGUUGAACAAGAGCAACUCACGGAAGAGGUUGUUUUUAUAAUUCGUUGCUGAUCCCUCUUCUCCUCAUUCUGUGGGAUUUACCCAGCUGCCAGCCCCACUGAGCACCCGGCGAUAGCUGGCAAACGUCAUCUACAGCCGGGAACAUCACCUCGAAGGGGGCAGGAGGGCUCCAGGUCAGAGACACCUCGGGGAGACCGCCUCUGCGUGCUGUCAGGACGACUGGCUGUGCUGUGUAACACACACACACGCCCAAACCCGGAGGCUCACACAAGUCGCCUGCGGUGGCCUCCGACCCCCACGGGCCUCAUUCCUGGCGCCUGGUCUCAGGCAGGCCGCAGGUCCAGUCGGGAAGAAAGAACGCGGAGGAUCAGGAACCAGCUUUUCAGUGUUCGCCCUUGGGUGACACAUGGCCCUUCUGAUGAAGGUCACGGUGAGGCGCGUGCCUGCUUCCUUUCAAGGGGGCGGGGGAGCAGACGCUGUGUCACAACUGAAGCAGAAAGGUGCGGGGCCCGGGCUGGGGGCUUCGGCCACGGAGGAGCACGCUCUGACGCUAGAAGGCACGGCGCGGGCGGCAGCUUGCAGUGGUUAAGGAGCCGCGGCGGUAUUUGGGGCAGACGCUCAUAUUGCCCCACAGACGAGGACCCUGAAGCAGGGCGAGACCCCUCGGCCUCGACCAGAUUCGAUGCCUGGGCUUCCUUUGUGACGGAGACGGCGGAGGAGCUGGGCAUGUGGGCGGGUGGGGAGAGCUGGGCUCUGGGCCUGGUGACGUCUGGUCAGUGAGGUUGGCUGGAGGCAGCAAGGACACACAAAGGAGGGCAGGAGGGUGAGAGCCAGCAGAGGAGUGACUCCGUUCGUGCGACCGGAUAACAUUUCUCAGAUGCUUCCUUUUUAAAAGUGAAGCAGAAUGCAAUUGAUUUUAUUUUUAUAGGCAAGAAAUGUGCGCGGCACUGAGGACCCCAGAGUACCGCCUGGUGCUCAGUGAGACCUAGGUCAGGGUUCAUCCCUGAUGCUAACCACAGACUCAGCUUUUGCCAAGUCUUCCUGGUCCUGCGGGUGUUGGUCCCGUCAGGAAUGAGUUUGGACAGCAAGAAAGAGGCCGGCCUUCUUUUUUUCUGUGAGCUCGGUGACUCUUGUCCCGUGCAGGAUCUGUUCACACCACACUCGUCCCUCUGGCCCAUCACCUGCACCCAGCCUGGGCUGGUCCAGGCUCAGCUUCCGUGUCUCUGGAGCCUGGCCCAGGAUGAGGGAGCCAAGGUGUGCUUCCCCGGGUCCCCUGUGCCAGGGACACAGGGCUACGCUCCCCCGGGGGGUCUGGCCCCAGAUCAGGAGGACGGGGUGGUUCCCCAUGCCCCCCACGCCCCAAGAAAGGACACAGGGCUCCACUCCCUGGAGACUGGCCCAGGACCUGGAGGAGGGGGGUGUUCCCCAUGCUGACCCACUGGAAGGUGACCCCGCGUGUGUGCUCCGAAGGGCCCUGCCAUCUGCAGUGGAGAUGGGUGUGCACAGACCCGUACUGACACUUCCCGUUGGCCCUGCUCUGUCAUGCUCUGUUGGGACCUCGUGUCCUCCUGCGGACCCAGCGGACCUGUCCCGAGUGCGGGUGUGCUCCCGCCCUUCCCCAUGCUUCACAGACCUGCACUCUCCACCCGCGGCUCACAGCUCCCCUGGUGGCCCCCACGCCCUCUCUGCACCGAAUCCAGCCCCCCACACGCUGCCUUCCUGACUUCCUCCCUUUUCCCACCCUCUUUCGCCAUCCGUCCAUCCAAGUGGCAGUGGCCUCCUAAGUGUAAGCCAGUGACGUCCAGCUGCAUCUGGAGACUCAGCCCCGGGACAGAGUCCAGAUCCCCUCAGAGGACCCAGCAGAGGACCCGCCAGCCGGCAGGGCUCCCCGUUUCUCCUGGACACACUUCCCUCCGCCGCCGACCCUGCCUCCCUACAUCUCCCUCCACCGAGUCAGUGCUUUCCUGUUUCCACCACGGUUGAGUGAAUACGGUCCCCGCGGCCACAUCUGGAGUUGAUGCAGCAGGGAGCGUCUGUGGAGGCAACUGGGGCUAAGGGAGCCAAUGGGGGGAUCCACGUCCUCACGAGAAGACAGACACACAGAGCUACUCCCCCCCCCCCCCCCCCCCGCACAGGGGAGGCGGGGAGAAGGCACUGUCCCAGGUGACAGCGCUCGCCUCCGGGACCUGGCCCUGCCCCUCGCCUCAGGUCCCACCUCCGGUCCUGAGAAGUGUGUGGGCUCUGCUGGCUGCCCUCCCGAGCACCGUGCGGGUACCUGUGGGGCUGGGAGCUUCAGGGAAACCACACCUCUGCGUGCGUUCUAGGGGGACCGGGGAAGUGACAGCUGGAGAGAAGCCCCCCACCCAGGGUGUGGCCUGGGCGGGGGGAUCGAGGAGGGAAGCCAGAGAUGAAGCAGGAUGUUGUGUAGAACGAGAGAGGGGAGACACAAAGUGGAGGAAUUGUUGAGGGAGAAGGACUUAGAGAUUUGGAACAUCUGAGAAACCGUGUCCCGGAGAGAACACUGAGCAGGUGGCUGGGCGUCCCCGGAGCCAGGGGCAGGCAGGGUUGUGCUGGCAGCCGCGGGUUCGCUAAAGGGACACGCAGGUGACACGAAGGGAGGCUACCAGGUCCCCAGACUCUCCGGGUCGGCCGAUGGGUACCCCACUGCCACCGUGCCGUCACCCUUUAAGCAGAGACCGACCCUGAUCUGUGGGUCCUCUGGCGCGGCCACCCCCACUCUUCCUGGACCACGGACACUCCCACAUGUGGCUCCAUCUACCUCCCUGAGCUGCAGGCCCAGAACAGCACCCACGGCUUCUGGGGGCCCACUGGGCCGAGGGUUGGGGACCCCAGAGACGGAGCCCCGGGGCCUGCGCAGGAAGACACCAAGGAGGCCCUGUGGGGGCGGGGCCAUCUGUGGCUGAGCCCGCCCUCACUGGUUACAGGGAAAGAGGACCGGAGAAAUUGAAAAAAAAACGUGCCACCAACCCGUGGGAGAGGGGAAG